GCCACAGUAGCUCAGUUGGUAGAGCAAUACCUUGGUAAGGUAUAGGUCGUGUGUUCGAUCCACACCUGUGGCU
rnacentral:tRNA from 1 species